CAUCACAAAACUCAACAGAUCUCAAGCUAAAAAAUUGAUGGCUUCUUGUAAUUAAAGAGUUGAGAAACUGAGUGUGUUUCAUGCCUUUUGUUUGGGAUGGCGAUGGUGUUGAUGAAGCCAAACAACUACUCCAGGUUUCGAAGGUCUGAUCCCUGACGUGCUCGAUGAGCUUCGUCGCCUUCAGCGAUACAUCACCACUAGUUUAAUUUUUGUCGUAAGUUCAUUCUCAUGGUUCCAAUGCUCUGUGAACUUUGAUUUGAGGAGGAAUUCAACUUUACGGCAUUCUAACGUGAUUGUGGUGAAGCUGUGUAUCCAUCAUAGUGAGGCAGCGAUUGAGUACGACUGGGGUGUUUUAGAGCACUUUGUAGGUCACGGCGUUGGCAAGGUGUUUCAUUCUGCUCCACCCAUAUCGCAUAGUAGCAAGUUUUCCAACCCUCUUUCUCUCCCUCUUUACUCCAUGCAAGAUUCCAUACCCGGGGAGUUGCAUAAUUUCUAAUUCAGUGCUGCCGCAUCGAGGUUUUCAUAUUUUGGAGGUGGUCAUCAUGUGAAAGUUUACAUACAAAUAGUUAGAAUCCGUGUGCAGAGGUGCUGUUUUCCGAGAUGGGUUUUCUGCUGAUAGUGAAAUCGAUUUCAUUGCUUGCGUAUACCAACGGGUAAUAAUCAACCUGGGAGGAUGGCAGUCUGGCAGGCAUCCACAAAGAGUAAGAUGUGUUCCAAUUUGGUAACUACAUUCUUUUCAUCAACUGAUGCAUGCCGAUUAAUCAGGUGAAUUUUCCUUUUUCCAAGCCACACAGAAUCUGUCUCUUACAGUUACAGAAGUUUCGACUCUACUAUGUCAUCGUUGUAUAAUCAAUCAACAUGAAGCACUUAAAUCAGAUCUAAACUUUCCCUGGUUCUCGAAACACCUUUGUCAGCUACAGGCCUCCUCGAAAGCCUCCUCGAAAGGGAACACGAAAGACCGAAGUGAUGUCAGGCACUUAUAUUACCCUUUUAGUGAUUUGAUAAGAUUCAAACACGACUGAUCCAAUGGUUUAUAAAUUUCAGAUUAGGUGUUCGAAUGCUUCAAGGCAAUUUUUUUUCUCGUCUUUGUUCUGAAAAGUUCGGAUUUGCCAUUCUCUCUUCUCGCGUUGGAAGAGAUGCGGUCGCAAAGGAAAAGCUCGUGAUUCUGAGUGUCUGACUUUGGGUGGUUGACUUGCGGUGUUAUUUUUUUUCCUUUGGCUGUGUGGACUUGUUCACCAUAUGGAGAAGAGGAAUACAGCGAAAUUCUAGGAGAACAUGCAAGGUUUGUGCUUUUUGGCUUUUGUGGUAGUUUUUUCAAAAGCAUGUCAAACAACCUGAAGCAGCUUUGGUGGGAAUUUCCAAAACUUUCUCACAUUCUCUGCUCAAAAUCAACGCUCUCACUACAGUUUUUUCAAAAGGAUGUUUGGCGGUCUUCGAUGUCUGUAGCUCUGAUCAGAUAAUGGGUAUGUUUGUAUACUACAGUAGCUUUUGGGUUUUGAUGCUUGUGUGUGUGUAUAUAUAUAUAUAUAUAGAUGACUGGUUUGCUCUCAACAGUAACUUCUUUCCCUUAAUUUAUUAACUUAGCUUUUUUCUCUAUUCAAUUUAUUAAUGAGGAAAGAUUUAACCAGCUUAGAAUAUAAAACUUCUUAAAAAUCUCAUAUGAUUUGUGAACAGAACAGAAACCAUGUUUCAAAUUGGGGAUUAGCCAUUUGGUUCA